UGCUUUAGAUCUCAAGAAUAUUUAAGUAAAAAAUAUUUUUGAAAACAUGUGGGAUAACAGUAUGAUUCAUUAGGUACAUUGUACAAGCCCUAUACUGUACUGCAUGAGAAAUGCUAUCAAACUUUCAGGACCACAAACUGGGUUGUGCUAAAAGGACAGAACUGAGCAGUUGGGAAUAUAUGCUGUAGACCAAGAAAUUAAUGCUGAAUUUUAAAAUAUGCAUGAGAUAUCAGUAAAGCACACAUAUUUUAGCAGGAAACAAAUAUUUCCUCUAAUGACACUGACACAAGUUAUCCAGUGUAGCCUACUGGUUUUAACCUGUAUGCUAUUUUUCUUUUUUUUUAGAUUUUUUCUCAGAAUCACAGGAAAUGAGAUGGGAAUCAGAAAGUCCAUCUCAUUUUUACUGCCCAGUUUGAGGCAAGACUGGCUGUAUCUAUACUGUUCCUGACAGAUGUCUGGGACGCCCACAAGAAGGAUGAAAUCUGCACACCUUCCUAUACAAAGCCGACAUGCUCCCACUCCAGGAAAACCAGGAACUGCAUUCUGUGCCCUGCCUCUUAUUGUCCCAUCUGUGCAGAGUGGCAGCAGCUUAAAAGAAAAAAUCAAAUUUACUUGAGCACUACACAAGAUGAGAUACUGAUGCCAGCUAAAACUACAGCCAGAGCACAUUUCUGAUAUAACUGCAUGGAUCUGGUAUAUAUUUAAAAAUACAAAUCUUAUUAAUUGUAAAAGUAAAUAUAAAGAUUCAAAUUUCUGUACAAUUCUGUUGUCUCAGGUACUGACAUGAACAGAAAACUAUAUUUUUUUUGAUGAAUUAUUUUAUCUUUUUUCUGCAAAGAAUGAAACUUUGCCCUCUAAGUGACUGUACCUCUGAACUAACACCAGUCCUUUUUGAUGUUCUAGUGUUUUUUUGUUUGUUUGCUAUUUUAGAUAUUUGCACAGAAAAAAGUGACCCAAAAAUUGGGUAAAUAUUAUGGCCUUUGUAUGUUUUCACAUGUAAUAUAUAAAUGCAGGCACAAUUGUCACUCAUGAAGGGUAUCAAAUAUCCUUGAAGCUUGGGCAGAGUGUUCAUUAUCUUUUGUUUUUCUAAAUUAAAAUGUUUGCACAGUCCUGUUUUAUUGUAUAUGACAUGUUGGCAACCAUACUGUAACUGAUGCCAUUAAAUAUGUGACAGUGUCAGUUUCAAUUUUUUUUUUCUCUGUUGCAAUAAUUGGACAAAUUUUUCAUGGAAGUUACUGUUUUUACAUUUGAGGUAAAAAGUUACCUAUAUCAAAGCCUUUGUAAAAUGUCUCAAUCCAUCUAAAAUUAGA